rnacentral:rRNA from 1 species
GAAUAUUGGACAAUGGGGGGAACCCUGAUCCAGCCAUGCCGCGGGUGUGAAGAAGGCCUUUUGGUUGUAAAGCACUUUAAGCGAGGAGGAGGCUACUCUAGUUAUUACCUAGAGAUAGUGGACGUUACUCGCAGAAUACGCCCCGGCUACCUCUGUCCCGCCCGCCGCGGUAAUACAGAGGGUGCAAGCGUUAAUCGGAUUUACUGGGCGUAAAGCGCGCGUAGGUGGCCAAUUAAGUCAAAUGUGAAAUCCCCGAGCUUAACUUGGGAAUUGCAUUCGAUACUGGUUGGCUAGAGUAUGGGAGAGGAUGGUAGAAUUCCAGGUGUAGCGGUGAAAUGCGUAGAGAUCUGGAGGAAUACCGAUGGCGAAGGCAGCCAUCUGGCCUAAUACUGACACUGAGGUGCGAAAGCAUGGGGAGCAAACA